rnacentral:rRNA from 1 species
UGAACGCUGGCGGUCUGCUUAACACAUGCAAGUCGAACGGAGUAGAAAUACUUAGUGGCGGACGGGUGAGUAACGCGUGAGAAUCUGCCUUCAGGACGGAGACAACAGUUGGAAACGACUGCUAAGCCCCGAUGAACCAAGGGAAAUAUUUAUAGCCUGAAGAUGAGCUCGCGUCCGAUUAGCUAGUUGGCGGAGUAAAAGCCCACCAAGGCGACGAUCGGUAGCUGGUCUGAGAGGACGAUCGGCCACACUGGGACUGAGACACGGCCCAGACUCCUACGGGAGGCAGCAGUAGGGAAUCUUCCGCAAUGGACGAAAGUCUGACGGAGCAACGCCGCGUGAGUGAUGAAGGGUUUCGGCUCGUAAAACUCUGUUGUUAAGGAAGAAUACU